UACGUAGGUGGCAAGCGUUGUCCGGAAUUAUUGGGCGUAAAGCGCGCGCAGGCGGUCCUUUAAGUCUGAUGUGAAAGCCCACGGCUCAACCGUGGAGGGUCAUUGGAAACUGGGGGACUUGAGUGCAGGAGAGAAGAGUGGAAUUCCACGUGUAGCGGUGAAAUGCGUAGAGAUGUGGAGGAACUCCAGUGGCGAAGGCGACUCUUUGGCCUGUAACUGGCGCUGAGGCGCGAAAGCGUGGGGAGCAAACAGG
rnacentral:rRNA from 1 species